UCUGUUUGGAGAUAUAAAAAGUCUGGCCUGCCCMCUGAUUGAAUAAAAGUUUUUAAGGGCCGCGGUAUUAUGACCGUGCAAAGGUAGCAUAAUCAUUAGGUUUUUAAAUGGAAUCUUGUAUGAAUGGUCGAACAAAAGAAAAACUGUCUUUAAAAUAAUAUUUGAAUUUAACUUUUAAGUGAGAAGGCUUAAAUAUCUUAGAGGGACGAUAAGACCCUAUAAAGCUUUAUAUUAUGGUUAAAUUUAAUUGAAUUUUAAUAAUAAGAGUUUAAUUUAAUUGUUUUAUUGUGUUGGGGCGAUAAAAGUAAAAGUUAUAAUAACUGCUAGUGAAAAAGAACAAUUAUAAGUGGAUUAAUAAAAGUAGAAGAUCCUAUAUUUAGAUUACAAGAUUAAGUUACUUUAGGGAUAACAGUGUAAUUUUUUUCGAGAGUUCAUAUCGAAAAAAAAGUUUGCAACCUCGAUGUUGAAUUAAGAUAUCUAUAUAAUGUAGAUGUUAUAUAAGAAGGUCUGUUCGACCUUU
rnacentral:rRNA from 1 species